rnacentral:rRNA from 1 species
AUGCGUUGUUGGGUAGGGGAGCGUUCUGUAAGCCUGUGAAGGUGUGCUGUGAGGCAUGCUGGAGGUAUCAGAAGUGCGAAUGCUGACAUAAGUAACGAUAAAGCGGGUGAAAAGCCCGCUCGCCGGAAGACCAAGGGUUCCUGUCCAACGUUAAUCGGGGCAGGGUGAGUCGACCCCUAAGGCGAGGCCGAAAGGCGUAGUCGAUGGGAAACAGGUUAAUAUUCCUGUACUUGGUGUUACUGCGAAGGGGGGACGGAGAAGGCUAUGUUGGCCGGGCGACGGUUGUCCCGGUUUAAGCGUGUAGGCUGGUUUUCCAGGCAAAUCCGGAAAAUCAAGGCUGAGGCGUGAUGACGAGGCACUACGGUGCUGAAGCAACAAAUGCCCUGCUUCCAGGAAAAGCCUCUAAGCAUCAGGUAACAUCAAAUCGUACCCCAAACCGACACAGGUGGUCAGGUAGAGAAUACCAAGGCGCUUGAGAGAACUCGGGUGAAGGAACUAGGCAAAAUGGUGCCGUAACUUCGGGAGAAGGCACGCUGAUAUGUAGGUGAAGUCCCUCGCGGAUGGAGCUGAAAUCAGUCGAAGAUACCAGCUGGCUGCAACUGUUUAUUAAAAACACAGCACUGUGCAAACACGAAAGUGGACGUAUACGGUGUGACGCCUGCCCGGUGCCGGAAGGUUAAUUGAUGGGGUCAGCGCAAGCGAAGCUCUUGAUCGAAGCCCCGGUAAACGGCGGCCGUAACUAUAACGGUCCUAAGGUAGCGAAAUUCCUUGUCGGGUAAGUUCCGACCUGCACGAAUGGCGUAAUGAUGGCCAGGCUGUCUCCACCCGAGACUCAGUGAAAUUGAACUCGCUGUGAAGAUGCAGUGUACCCGCGGCAAGACGGAAAGACCCCGUGAACCUUUACUAUAGCUUGACACUGAACAUUGAGCCUUGAUGUGUAGGAUAGGUGGGAGGCUUAGAAGUGUGGACGCCAGUCUGCAUGGAGCCGACCUUGAAAUACCACCCUUUAAUGUUUGAUGUUCUAACGUUGACCCGUAAUCCGGGUUGCGGACAGUGUCUGGUGGGUAGUUUGACUGGGGCGGUCUCCUCCUAAAGAGUAACGGAGGAGCACGAAGGUUGGCUAAUCCUGGUCGGACAUCAGGAGGUUAGUGCAAUGGCAUAAGCCAGCUUGACUGCGAGCGUGACGGCGCGAGCAGGUGCGAAAGCAGGUCAUAGUGAUCCGGUGGUUCUGAAUGGAAGGGCCAUCGCUCAACGGAUAAAAGGUACUCCGGGGAUAACAGGCUGAUACCGCCCAAGAGUUCAUAUCGACGGCGGUGUUUGGCACCUCGAUGUCGGCUCAUCACAUCCUGGGGCUGAAGUAGGUCCCAAGGGUAUGGCUGUUCGCCAUUUAAAGUGGUACGCGAGCUGGGUUUAGAACGUCGUGAGACAGUUCGGUCCCUAUCUGCCGUGGGCGCUGGAGAACUGAGGGGGGCUGCUCCUAGUACGAGAGGACCGGAGUGGACGCAUCACUGGUGUUCGGGUUGUCAUGCCAAUGGCACUGCCCGGUAGCUAAAUGCGGAAGAGAUAAGUGCUGAAAGCAUCUAAGCACGAAACUUGCCCCGAGAUGAGU